rnacentral:rRNA from 1 species
AGACGAAGGUGGCAAGCGUUGUUCGGUAUCACUGGGCUUAAAGCGUGUGUAGGCGGAAUCGUAAGCGUUUUGUGAAAUCCCUCGGCUUAACCGAGGAAUUGCUUGACGAACUGCGGUUCUUGAGGCAGGUAGGGGUGCGAGGAACUCUUGGUGGAGCGGUGGAAUGCGUAGAUAUCAAGAGGAACGCCGGUGGAGAAGUCGUCGCACUGGGCCUGUCCUGACGCUGAGACACGAAAGCGUGGGGAGCGAACGGGAUUAGAUACCCCGGUAGUCCACGCCGUAAACGAUGUCUACUAGGUUGUGGCGGUUCUGACGCCGGCACAGCCGAAGCUAAAGUGUUAAGUAGACCGCCUGGGGAGUACGGUCGCAAGGCUAAA